rnacentral:rRNA from 1 species
UACGGGGGGGGCAAGCGUUGUUCGGAAUUACUGGGCGUAAAGGGCUCGUAGGCGGCCAACUAAGUCAGACGUGAAAUCCCUCGGCUUAACCGGGGAACUGCGUCUGAUACUGGAUGGCUUGAGUUUGGGAGAGGGAUGCGGAAUUCCAGGUGUAGCGGUGAAAUGCGUAGAUAUCUGGAGGAACACCGGUGGCGAAGGCGGCAUCCUGGACCAACACUGACGCUGAGGAGCGAAGGCCAGGGGAGCAAACGGG